UGGCAGAGCGUCGCAGAGCAGCUGAAGCAGAGGGACCGUGUGCAGCGGCAGGCCUUCGAGGAGAUCAUCCACCAAUAUAACCAUCUCCUGGAGAAGUCCAAUCUACAGGCUGUCCUUUCAGAGAGAUACCAGUUGGAUAAAUAUGACUUUCAGAACAGACAUGAUGGCAGCCCGGGGGUGGACUCAAGUCGCAGCGACACCUUACAGCAGGAGAUGGCCCAGAUGCGAAUCAGGCACUAGGGGGUGCUGACAGAGCUUCAUAAGAAACGGGGAGAGCUGGCCCAGAGUGUGAUUGAGCUGUACCACCAGAUUCAGCAGAAGGACAAGGAGAUUAAGAGCAAUGAAGCCAAGAUGCAGGAGUACCAGCGACCGAUCACAGAGCUGAAGGGUGAGUGCCGGGAGCUGCGUGGCCAGCUACAGGACCUGGAGCAGGCCAACCAGACGCUGAAGGACGAGUACGACGCCCCUCCGAUCACCUUCGGUGCCCUGGAGGAGAAGCUGUGGCGCACCACCAAUGACAACCAGGAGCUGGUGUCUCUCUGGAUGGCUGAGAAAUCCCAAGAGGCCAACAAACUCAAUGCAGAAAAUGAGACUGCAAGCGGAGACGAGCCAAGCUUCAGAAGGAGCUCGCAGAUGCUGCGAAGGAGCCACUGCCCAUGGCCGCGUCGCUGUGAGCCGAAGGGUGCUUUGACUGGCAGCAACUCCGGGAUCACCAUCUCCUACUUGCUGGCUGCGUCCAAUGACUUUGCCAGUAGGCUGUGUGCUGUGGAUGACUACAGACUGAGGCACACACUGACAGGCCACAGCGGGAAGGUGCUGGCGGCUCGUUUUCUCCUGGACAACACUCUCAUCGUCUCCGGGAGCUACAACAGGACUUUAAAAUUGUGGGACCUGCGCAGCAAAGUCUGCAUGAAGACUGUUUGCUGGAUCCAGCUAUUAGUGGUGUUGGAGGUUUGUCAACAGUGUUUUCCAAUCUUUCCUCCCAGUGCUCAGGGCUUCAAUUGUGGCACUGACUGGACCAGAGUCAGCUUCAGUCCCGAUGGCAGUUAUGUGGCGGGGGGCUCUGCAGACUGAGCGCUGUAUGUGUGGAACGUCCUGACGGGCAAGUUGGACCGCACCCUGGGCCAGAACCACUGCUCGGCCAUCAACUCUGUGUCCUGGUCACCGUCGGGAGCCUACGUGAUUAGUGUGGAGAAAGGCAGCAAGGCCGUGCUCUGGUCCGACAUGUGAUUGGCUCUGCUCUAGCCCUCUGCCAUCGGUUGACUGGCUGGCUGUCUGUCUGGACUGUUCAAUGGAAGCACAGACUGGACAAGGGGUUCCCUAGCCCCACCCUCUAAUGUCCAAUCCCCCCAUUGGCAUUGGACCAUUCUGUGCUCAAAUGCGUGGGGGGUGGCUUGCCUAUAGGAGGAGGUCAUCUGUUGGGCAGCAGAUAAUUAGUUUGUGUCCAGUUGGAAGUGUCAGUGGAAGAGCCAUGAAGGCAGUUCUCUAAGUAUAACACUAUCAUAUAUCCAUUUGAAAUUAUACCCAACCAAGGCGAGUGAGUCACAGUUGAACUUAUAAAACAGUUGUUGCCAAAUUGCCACUAUAACCAGAGCUGGAUUGUCUGUUUUUACAGCUGCAAUUGGACACAUUGUUAGUUUUACAUGACCUUGGGGUGGGCAUAGGCUUUUAAUGUUGGAGUCUGUCUGCUCCUCCUGGGCCCAGUUUUUCAAAAGCUAUCUGAUUGGAUUCCAGCCAUAGAAUAUAAUUAAAUGCACAGAAAUAGAAUGGGCGUAUCAUUGACUUGAAUGGGGAUGCCCGUUUGAUUCACAAUAUUUCUAUACAUUUAAUCCUAUCCAAUUGCUGAGCAUUGAGGUUGUCAGGGGUCAUUUAAUACUGUAGUUCAGUGGUCUUCAAACCUUGUCCUGGCUACCCACAGGGCCUGUUAAGUGGUCGUUAUAGCUCUGCACCAACACAUCACAUCAAGUACUUAAGUAGUUGAACUGGGCUGGAGAAAAGGCGUGAUCAUUUGAAUCAGCUGUGCAAGACGAAGACAAAAUAAAAAAUGUGCACGAGGACUGAGAACCACUGCUCUUCAUAUGUAGACAGGCUUUCAUAGCUCUCUUUAUCUGAGGACAGAAAACCUCACAAGAAACAGACUUCAUUAUAGUCAAAUUACACCUCACUGAAUAUUAUGUUACUGUUAUCCCCAUCCUCACUUCUAGGGACAGGAACUACACAAAGGUACUGUUAGAGUUGCGUCAAUUCGAAUCUGGUAUCAGGAUAAAUAUGACAAUGAGUCACCGAUUGUAUACUAUGUAUUUUUUAUUAGCUAAGCAAUAAGUGGUAAAUGCAAUUUUCGUAUAUACGGGCUCUCUGUCCCACCUCGCAGGGCAGAACAGAGAACUGACUAGACGUAUGUAAAACAGUAUUCUUUAUACUGUGAUAGACAGUUCCAACCCGUCUGUUGGCCUAUCACAGUUGAGACUGGGCGAGGUUUAAACUUGCUCAGGCACUCAGGCGGGUCCCCGCCUCUUGGCGCUUCUGUUGAUAGAUGUAAGUGUUGCUGUGAAGAACAUCCAGGCUCUCAUGCUCCAUACCGUUAUCUCGCACCUGGCUCCUGUUAUCUAACAAAAGACCGCUUGUUCUGCAACCCCACGCUCUGAAUGUGCCCUGUCUUCUGUAUUUUUCCAUCAUGAGAAAGUCCCCUGGCCCUGACACUUUUAACAAUGUUUCAAGUCAGCUAUGUUGUAUAACACAUACAUACCACACAAGCCAACAGCAGAUAAUAUUCAAUAAUAUAUAUGGUAAUGGGCUAUAGUGCAUAACACAGAAACCUCAUAGUACCUACCCUAUCCAGAAUAGCCUACUCGCUCACUGAUAGUUGAGGCUUCUAUCCUAUCACCCUCAUCCAUGGCUGUUAGCUAGCUACCUAUCUACAAAUUAAUAUUUUUUUUUUACAGUGAUAAAUACAUCAAUAUAGCUAGCUAAUAUGAAGUUAGGUAGAUGGUGAUAUUUAAUUCACUUAGCUAGCUAUCUAUACAGUAUGUGAAGUUAGCUAGCCAACUAGCUAGCUCAUUUAGCAGCUCAUUUGAGUUAGCCUGCACUUUAGCUAGUUAGCUAAUAAUACAUGUUUUAUACAUAUUCAAAAUGUAUUUACUUACUUGAAUAGGUCCUCCCAGCUAUCUGUACAAUUGGAAACAGGGCAAAAAAGUUUAUCACCAGAGCAUUUAGAGGAUAUUACUAUUGAACUAUGUACCCAUUAAUAACUAGACCUUCAUACAAACUUGCUAUGCUGAAUUCUUAACGCACAAUCAAACAUACUGCCAGAAUGCCCACGAGCGAGUCACAAUGGGUGGCCUAAGCGGCACACGGCAAUUUGGAGAGCCUCAAACCCCAAGGCUCUCCAGAGGGUGGUGCGGUUUGCACAACCCAUCACCGGGGGCAAACUACCUGUCCUCCAUGACACCUACAGCACCCGAUGUCACAGGAAGGCCAAAAAGAUAAUCAAGGACAUCAACCACCCGAGCCACUGCCUGGUCACACCGCUACCGUGUGUCUCACGGUCAAUGCGUGAGAGUUGGCAACUCAGGAGUUGUUAUUUUUCAGUUUCAUCCUAAUAACAGAUUGUAUUGGCAAAAUACAAUAAGGUAGACAUUUUUUGGUGCCAUUUAGGGAACAUUUUAUUCUCAGCAUCACUCCAGUGAGGAGAGGCUCAGCAACAGUUUGUUUCAAUUCUUUUGACAUGGCUUCACAAUAGUGUUCCAGAUCAGCCAACGUUCUUUGGCCUUUUUUGUUGUUGCCAUGUGUGAAUUUUGUCCAGCCCUUGGAAAUCAAGUUUAAAACUAUGAGUUUGACGUUAUAUCUGGUUGCUCUUCUUAGUACAGCUACAGUUGGUUUGUCACUCAUUCAACUGACAAGCUCUAUUAUUAUACAAUUAAUAAACAAGUAUUACAAUGAUCUAUUCCAGUGCUUAAUUUGAACCGGAUCCUGCCCAAACAGGAUUAGGCACCUCUCCGUUUUGUACUGUUUUGUUCUGGAAUCUAUUUGGCUGGAUCCGAUACCUCUAAUGUUAUGAAAGAUAAUUGUCACUUUUUGCAAUGUAAACAUUCUAAUAAACGCAAAGUUCAUUCGA